UGGGGAAUAUUGCGCAAUGGGGGAAACCCUGACGCAGCGACGCCGUGUGAGGGAAGAAGGCCUUCGGGUCGUAAACCUCUGUCGGGAGGGAAGAACCGCCGGUUUCCGAACAGGGAGCCGGCCUGACGGUACCUCCGAAGGAAGCGCCGGCUAACUCCGUGCCAGCAGCCGCGGUAAUACGGAGGGCGCGAGCGUUAAUCGGAAUCACUGGGCGUAAAGCGCGCGUAGGCGGCCAGAUAAGUCGGGCGUGAAAGCCCUCGGCUCAACCGGGGAAUUGCGUUCGAUACUGUUAGGCUUGAGUCCUGGAGAGGGUGGCGGAAUUCCGGGUGUAGGAGUGAAAUCCGGAGAUAUCCGGAGGAACACCGGUGGCGAAGGCGGCCACCUGGACAGGUACUGACGCUGAGGUGCGAAAGCGUGGGGAGCAAACAG
rnacentral:rRNA from 1 species